UAGUUUAAGGUGUUGAUUGUGUUGGGUGAAACAUGAAUGCAUGAUGAUUGACGAUGUGUUGUGCUAGUUAAGGAUGUUAUUUGUUGUGAUGGCGGAGAUGAUUGUUAGUAGAGAUAAAUUGUAGCGAUGGUACUGGUUGAAGUGGUGGUAGAGGUGGCGUUACUAGUGACAAUAGUGGUGGCAGCCAAAGAAUGUGUAGAGGUUAUGAUGUAUUAGUGGUAGUUAGUGGUGGUGCUAGUUGUGAU
rnacentral:lncRNA from 1 species